GAACUUGAUAAAUAUUUUCUUUGUUUUCGUUUUGGUACCCGCCUUACUGAUGGCGCUCGUCCUAUCAGAAGUUACUGCGGAAGAUUCAGCGGAUAGUUUAGUUUUCUUGAAGAGGGAUAUCAACAAUGGGAAACUUCUGAAAACCGUAACCAUUGGAAAAGGCAUUAGUACCUUAAUUGCAAAACGUAUAAGACCGCAACCAAUUUGGUCUUAAAUUUAACCUUUGUCAGAUUUUUUAAAUAAAUCCUCGCACAUAACAAAA